GGUUGAUCUAUGUUACUAGCAGCUUUCAUUGAAAUACUGGAAUGAGACAGUCAGUGGCACACAGACUUCUCUGCAGCAAGCAAAUAUUUUUCAGUUUAGUAAGACAGGAGUCUUGAAUAGAGGAAAAAUGCAGUGCAAGGAAGUAGUAACUGAAACAUUAUGAUUUAUUUGCUUAAAUUUAUUUUCAUGCCUCUAACAUUCUGCCCAUCUUUUGUAGAGAGAAGACAACUCUUUUUUUUUUUGUUGCUAUGAUCUCACUAUGAAUUUGUGGUCUAUCUAUGUUUCCUGUAUGCUUCAAGUUCUACGAAUAUUUUCUUUAAACAAGAAUGCUGACAGAAGAUGAAGCAAGGAACAAUAGCUUCCUUCAUAUUCAGUUCAGGAAGAGUGAGUUGUUUUGUUUUCUUCCUGUUCAUCCUUCUGGUAUGUCAAAAAGGCCUGCUUCACAAAUGCAUGGGACUAGACAGAGAUAGAUAUGAUGGCUGUGCUGUGACAUUGUGCCUGUUGGAGAGUCAGAUUCUAUUGAGGCAUUUUGGAAGCUGGAAGCACCCCAUGGACUCCUGUUCACAGACUCUAUGACAUUAUUGACAUCUUGCCCCAUCACUGGAGGUGUUCAAGGCCAGGUUGGAUGGGGCCCUGGGCAACCUGAUCUAGUAAACGUGUAAGUUUG
rnacentral:lncRNA from 1 species